rnacentral:rRNA from 1 species
GAAUGCUGACAUAAGUAACGAUAAAGCGGGUGAAAAGCCCGCUCGCCGGAAGACCAAGGGUUCCUGUCCAACGUUAAUCGGGGCAGGGUGAGUCGACCCCUAAGGCGAGGCCGAAAGGCGUAGUCGAUGGGAAACGGGUUAAUAUUCCCGUACUUGGUGUUACUGCGAAGGGGGGACGGAGAAGGCUAUGUUGGCCGGGCGACGGUUGUCCCGGUUUAAGCGUGUAGGUGUGUGUUCCAGGUAAAUCCGGUUCACUUUAACACUGAGGCGUGAUGACGAGGCACUACGGUGCUGAAGUAACAAAUGCCCUGCUUCCAGGAAAAGCCUCUAAGCAUCAGGUAACAUCAAAUCGUACCCCAAACCGACACAGGUGGUCAGGUAGAGAAUACCAAGGCGCUUGAGAGAACUCGGGUGAAGGAACUAGGCAAAAUGGUGCCGUAACUUCGGGAGAAGGCACGCUGACACGUAGGUGAAGUGAUUUACUCACGGAGCUGAAGUCAGU